rnacentral:rRNA from 1 species
UACGAAGGGGGCUAGCGUUGCUCGGAAUGACUGGGCGUAAAGGGCGCGUAGGCGGUUUGUACAGUCAGGUGUGAAAUUCCCGGGCUCAACCUGGGGGCUGCACUUGAUACGUAUGGACUGGAGUGGGGAAGAGGGUCGUGGAAUUCCCAGUGUAGAGGUGAAAUUCGUAGAUAUUGGGAAGAACACCGGUGGCGAAGGCGGCGACCUGGUCCUUGACUGACGCUGAGGCGCGAAAGCGUGGGGAGCAAACGGG